CCUCCUCCUCGAGCAAGACAAGGUUGUUCCUCCCCUACACUCCAAUGGCCAUCUUCUCCAAGGACAUCUACAAGGGCAGAACACACCAUUGAUGCAAGUGUCACCAAGAUAGUUUCAGUCAAAGUUAAAGUAAAUGUAAACAAGCAAACUGAACCAAACCGAGGUGCAUAUUCAUAUGUGUGUGUAUGUAGAGAUGCAAGUGCCAUCUGAAUUUUGGGGAACCAAAGGUGGUUGUUGUUGUUGCUACUUUAGCAGCAACAGCAUCCUCGAAAUCAAACAAGGAGCAAGUUGUUUUAGCAACAGCGCAUACUAGUAAUUAGCUAGGACCAUUAUUAUUGCACAACCAUUCGAGGACGGUGGCAGACACAUCAACUCACAAGGCUCUACUGGAGAAACAAAAUAAUAGGAUAUGUGAUGCUAUCAAUCUUAGCACAAGAAGAAAAAACACAGCCUCUCCGAUAGAAUGGAUGGAUGCAUCAUGCACAAUCAUCUUCCAUCAUUGCAGCACUAGUCGAGCAACAAAUCAAAUAUAACAGUGGUUCCAUUGGUUCAGCCAACAAGUUAACAAAAGUUUACUUCCCACUACUAAUUUUGCAACUUGUCAUAAUAAAGAAAACAGAGCUCGACAUCACAGCAACAAAUAAAUAAUGACCCGCUGUACUACAUAUAUCUGUAAAGGACUUCUUGAGAGAUGAUAGUAUUACCAAUGAAGAAAAAUUAAGAUCAAGGCUCCAGUACAUCAGCGGUACCUACCUGUGCAUGAAAGAAGAUAUGGAUAAUCAAUUUAUAUGUAGGUAAUACCAAACAAAGGAUCAAAUUUAAGUUCAUUCAAAUUGAUGCAUAUGUGGGUUGGCAGAAACAAAAAAAAGAAUAUAUACAAAUAGAUCUACAGAUAUGAACAAAAUGGUAAAUGUGAAAGAAAAUAGCGCAGAUAAAAUGUUGAUUGUUUUGGAAGAUCCAAAGGUACAUACCUGGAAUAUAGUGAGUUCACUAAAAACAGGGCACUGUGCCACCAAGCAGAGAGGCAUGAGGUGAGCAUCAGUAACCUGAUAAACAAAGGAAAAGAAGCCCACAGAGAUUCAAUACUCAUGUAUUGUACUGGCAACAAAAUAUGUGUUACUAUACUUCCAAUUUUGCAGGUUUUGCAUUGUAUAAACAGUUACCGAGCAUGCCGGAAAGCUCGAGUGAUAUAUCUGAAAAAAGAAAGAGAAAUAACAUCCAUCUAUUAGAACUAUGAACCAAAUAUACUUUGUUGGACAAAUGAUCAAUUAAUCAUAAUUGGGAAUCUGAACAUAUUAAUGCGAAAUAGUAACUGACUAUAGCAAAUGAAAUUGUGAUAGAAAAAAUUGCUACCUAGAGUCCUUGACUCAACCGAGAGAUCUAUGGGAACCAAAAUUUUACAUGCAAUUUAUCCAUGUUCAGGUAAUACAAAAUAUGCAGAGUAAUUAAAUUGUGUAGUAGCUAUCCCAUAUAUAAAACUAAAGGUAGAAACUGGAAUAAUGAAACAUAUCUGGAUUGAUGUGCAAAUGCUAUGGCGACUUACAUGCUUGGAUUCAAUAAUUAUGAUGAAGCAUAUUAGUGUGAUGCAUAUGCAUGUUCGUCAGAACAGAUCUA
rnacentral:lncRNA from 1 species